GUGCUCGCUUCAGCAGCACAUAUACUAAAAUUGGAACGAUACAGAGAAGAUUAGCAUGGCCCCUACGCAAGGAUGACAUGCAAAUUUGUGAAGCGUUCCAUAUUUUU
rnacentral:snRNA from 1 species